rnacentral:ncRNA from 1 species
GGCUGUUGAAAUACAUUCCUGUGCCGGCAAUACAGUGUGUAUGGAGGUCUCAAUGGCUCGGAAGUGCCAGCAAACCGGCGUAGAUAUUAGCAGACGUAUGGGCGUAAGACUUUUAUUGAAAGAAACUUCUUUAC